UCGUAACGCCCUACGCCGUUGUUUUCCCGUCCGCGUGCAUCCGUUCGACGAACGCUUUUUUCGCGCCACGCACACGCCACGAAUCUAACCAAACUUUUCGAACAUUCCGCCGCGUCGGCUUCAAUCGUUUGGAAACGAAAUAAAAAAGUCGCAAAAUCCAGAAAAUGCUUGAUUUGUACGUACGUAAGUAACCUUUUCUGUUUCGUCUGCGAACUUUCUGCGGUUCGUGUUUGAUGUGCAAAUUUAUUGAAUUCGGUUUGGAAGUUAGUGUUUACCUUCAGUUUGACGGUAAGUGAAUACGAAUGGGGUUCGAGUAAACGGAUGCUGUAUAUACAUACGUGCCUUUUGAUUGUAUGUGAAGUUCGAUAAUGUCUGGAAAUGUUUGGAUAAAGGCGGAAGUGAAUUUUCGGGAUAAUAAUAUAAGAGAGCAGAAGAGAAGAUAAUGGAUUUUGAGGACUAACGGUCAACCUGCUAAAGAAAUGUUUUAGUGAAAAAAAGAAAUAAAAACAUAGAAGCACGAAGCUAGAAGAUUAAAUUACUCGAUAUACAAUAGGGUUCUUUUCUGCAGAAAAUAGUACAAAAUUUUAUCGUAAGUAUCCUAUGAGUGUUAGUGAAAUUUUAAAAAGCUUUACACAAUAUGUACAUAAGGGAUUCACAAAAAUUUUUUAUGGUAAGUACUUAAACACCUUCGUGAAUUACUAUACAUUCUAUUUUUUAUAAGAAUUAUAAAUCACAGAAAAUAAUAUCGAGAAAACAGAAAGAGAACUUGAAAUAGUAUACCAUCGAACUUAUGGCUGCCCAAGGUUCCAGUCAAGGUUCUACACGAUAAUGCUUUCGAGUAAACGCCUAGGCAGAAUAUAAAAUGCCGUUUCGUGGUAGUUAUGGGGUGAGAAUUUAGUAAAGUCACUCGAAUACCAAUAGGAAUUUGAGAAACUUCCCAUUACAUCAGAAAUAGGAAAGCCUCCAUGUUCUUUUUCGUCGUUUAAUACGCACAUCUCAAUCCGAAAGAAAAAGAAGAAGGAAAAAGGGCAACAAAGGAAUCAUUUUAUUAUAAAGAGAGCUCAGAUUUUAUCUUUUGUGAUGAAGUUUAUGAGAGUAACUGUGAGAAACAAACGAUGUUGCUUUGAUCUUAUUUAAGCCAUGUUGGAGAUACGAAACAAACUAGAAGACAAAUCUAAAUCGGAGGUUGACUGAUGAAAGUUUACUUCGAAUGCGACGAACGUAUUUGACUUUAGAUUACUAUUAACAGACUGAUUCAGGAGUAUCUGAUGGGGUUAAAGGAUAAGGAGAUUUAAUAUGGAGAAAGUUGUACUAAAGAACGAGUCAAGAACAAAUUCCCGUGAUGCAACAAAUCGUGACUGGACUUAACCGAAGGAACGUUUCAAAUUUUCGGAGAAGUUCGAUCCCUUGCCACGUGCAAAUUGCAUAUACGAGUAAUGAUACGAAUUUAUAUAAAUGAGAAAAUGCAAAUAUUGGACAGUGAAAGAUACCUCAACUACUACAUGGAGUUUUCUCUUGAAUUCUUAACACUUUCAAGAGCAGGUCUUCAAAAACAGUAUAUUAUCUUGACCCCAAUCUAGAAGAAUUUAUUUUUGCAAAAAAUAAUAUACUUGUCAUUUAAAUUUUAAUUUAGUAUUUAGAAAUACAGAAAUCUGUGAUUUAUAAAUAUUCAUUUUUCAACAUUUCGCUUCAAUAUAUUGAAAUUUUAAAGAUAUACAUGUCCAAGUCUUUAUUAAAUUAUUCAAAUAUUAAAUAUUUGACUUAAAAACAUAUUACAUUAUACAUACUUCGACAUCAUUUAUAAUAAUUGUAGUAGAUUAAAUUUUAUUUUAUAAGGUUCAUAAAAGGCCCAUGUAAUAUAAAAUAUCCUGCUACCUACAAAAAGCAAAACAUCAAAGAAAAGAUAAUUAAUUUUACUACUACCACCACUAUUGGCAUAAAAAGAAGAAGAAUCUCAGAUAAUUAAAAUUGUUUCACACUUCAUGCCACACCGUCUUUUUCCUCUUUCUGAUUUUUUUUUCUUUCUUUUUUUUUUUUUUUUUUUUUGAAACGCAAAAUAAGCCAGCCAGAGGCACUGUUCUAAUCUUCUGGCAAGUAAUUCGGAGUCAUUGAAAAUCCGCAAAUUGCUUUACACCGCCAUGCGUCUCGUGUCUAUAGUAGCAAACGAUCCGACCAGAAAUUAGCCUUCAAAUUGUCGGCAACAAAUUCGGGCGUACCGUGAGCGUAAAAGCGAGUCAUAGACAUGGUGGUUGGCUUUUCUGAAGCGCUUGUAGCCUAAACGAAUAGGCCGGAGGGUGGCUCAAGUAAUUUCAGCGUGAAAGUACUUCCCCACCAUAAAGAAGGAGACGACGGUGUCGCAUUUCAAAGAACGUCAUUUUGCGACGGAGAAUCGCUUUGCAAACCUUCCGAAAAAUCUCGUAAGGCAGGUCAGGUCUUUUCGAAGCGAACACUUUUUAAAUGUCCACUCUUGUGGAGCUUUUAACGCUUUGUAACGUGAUUAAAUAAAUCGUUGACUAUGUGAUAAUCGACACGUUCGUGAAUGUAUACGUUUUUCAUCGCAAUUUUUGUUAGAUAAGUAAUUUGAUAAAAGUGUAUAAGCGAAUAAUAGGGUGGAGAAUAAUGUUAGUUUAUAUGAAAAUCUAAGGGUUUAUGACUUUUACUGCAAGUUUAAACUUGUUGAUACUGUAUAACAUCAAACAAAAAAUGGGCUAUUCGAAAACCUCGCAAUAAAAAGCAUUGUAUCAAAAUCACGAAGCUUCAUGCACAUAGUGAACGCUAUUCUUUUUAACAAACUUCCGAUCGAUCAUAAUUUGAAGCAAAACUCUGGCAAUUUUCAGGGAUGAAAAUUUUAACCGAAAUUCUAAGAGACAAGUGCUGGGUGUUCAAAUACUCACCUUGUUUGUAUCGCGACUAUUAUUUAUGACUCAGUUUCUCUUUUCAUUCGUUUGUCUGUCCGUCUCUUUCUUUCUUUGUCGUCUAUACAUUCUCACUGUGCUAGUUGAAACCAGCUAUUAUUAUAAGACAGAAGACCAUCGUGGGCUUCAUACCACUAGGAUUAAUCCGAUCUCAUGAGCUCUCGUACACGCGUUUUAUCGAACAGAGAGCACUCUGCCCUAGUACUAAUAAUGUCAGAUGCAACGAGACACUCCGUGAAGUGCAUCGAUAUGCUGGCGAUCGUGACGUUUCGACGUAAUGUCCCGCAGAAUAUGUAUAUGGAGUAUAAUACAGAACCAAAGUCGACGAAUGGAUCCAAUCGGUGAUUAAAGGUUAAUAUGUGGAGUGUUUGCGUUGAAAACGCAAUUAGAAUGCUUUAGAAAUAUAAACGUUUAUUUGAAAGGAGCAUACAUGACAUAAAUGUCAUUUAUUUUUAAUUAUUUCUGUGUGUCUCAUGUUCGUAUGAUUAUUCUUUUUAUUAGCAAUGGUCUUGGCUUAAUUCUUUUGGUUGUUUUAUUUGGUGAAAGAAAUAUGUCUCUUUGGCAAGUGCAAUGAAGACUAAGAGGAGGAAAAUUGUUUGCCAUUACUAUUCAACUCAGGGUACAUCUCUUGGAUGAUUUAAAUGAUUUUGUGCUUAUUGCAUAGUCUUUACAGUAUUUACUAGGUAAACAAUUUUCUGUUUAAUUGUUUAAAAGUUCCAUUUUCUUAAUUGUAUUCAUAGAAAUAUGAAUUUGCUCAAGUAUCCACAGCCUAGUUAUUACUAAUGAAUGAGUUGAAUGGAAGAAACGUAUAAUAGCUUAGAUUGUGAUGGAAAGGAAAGAUUUACCGCGUAUAAAACAAAUGAAAUUAAUAUAAUCGUAUCUUUCAUGCUUAACUGAGCUCUUAAAAAGAGUUCCUCUGCAAUUAGAACAGAUUUUCACAUCAAAAUCAUAAGCGCCGAUCAAGCGUAUUGUAAUUCUUCGUUUCUUUAAGAUUUAUAAUAAGAUUUAUAAUACAAAGUAUUAAUUACAUUAAUGUCUUAAUAAUCUUCCUGCCUGCUUCUUAUGCUACAUUACAUCAAAUUGGUUCUUGUGGCAUUUAACACGAAGUAAAUAAGAUGCAAUGCGAAGUAAACAAGAUGGAACUCGAAGUAAACAACUUCCAGAAAAUUUUCUUCAAUUAAAAAGGCAAAUGAAUUUAAGUGAUUGAAAGGGAGAGAAUAAAAAGGGUAUAUUACCUCAUGUUACAUACCUCACUAUGUUACAUAGCAAAUAAACUUCAUUGUCUUUUUGUCUGUGUGAAGUGAGAAAAUAAUAUAUGAUCACAUUUUGUGCAAAAUAACAUUAAGCAUAACUUCCUGACUAAUAUUUGUAAUAAUAUCAAAGUUUUAAUUUAUUUAUAAUAAAUGUGUGCUGGUUACGUUGUCCUUCGUGUACAAUUUCUUCAUAUGACAAAUGCAAAAAUUAUUUAUUUAUAUGGUAGAAGUAUAUCUUAUGAUCUGAAAAUUAUAUGAGUUCUCAUUGGUCUUAUUUAAUAUGAUUUUGUAUCUUCAAAAGAGGGACAAAAAGUUAAAAAUCAUGAAUUCUUUUCUCCAGAAACAAUUUCAAGAAAACUACAACCUAACCAUCUGUCCAAACUUGCAAACCAAUCUAAUCUCAACUAAUUAACAAUUCACCAAUUAAAAUUCGUGAGUACCUAAAACAAACACAUUAUAACUAGAAAUUAUAAACCAAGUCCUUAAUUUAAUGCUGACAAAACAUAAAUUUAUUCAAGAAUAUGUAAGGAAACGAAGAAAUCUAGAUCUUAGACAAUGUCAGUUGAUCAGAAAUACAAUUUCAUUAAGUAUCCGGUCAGCUUAGCUAAAAUUAAUGCUAAAAUAUUCUGCUCAGUUAGACGUUGUUCGACGUCCGUAACUUUGGAUCCUCGGUCGCUGGAGGACGUCGUUUCGAAAUUUCGUCAGGCGGCAUCCAAACACUAGAUAAUCCUCCAGAACAGUACUAGUAUUAGUACUAGUAUAGUAACAGUAACACUAUAUAAUAGUACUAGUUAGCACGAACACCAAACUCUUGUAUGAAAUUAUCAAUAAUAUAUAGAACAGGGUAUCUUACAAUGACAACAAAGUAUAUAAAUCAAUUAUCAAUUAUAUAUUAUCAAGUAUAGGUAGAUUGACCUAGUAACAAUUUACCAAUAACCAAAUAGACAAAUUACGCAGAAUGGAAAGAACAGAAGACCAACGAAACGACAAGAAGAGGAGAACAACAAAAUCACCAAUAUUCUUACUUCUACGGAUAAAUAUAUCCAUCAAAUAAAUCUAUCUUUACAAUUAUACUAAACCGAAGGCUUAAAACAAACGACGCAGCUCAAAAUCAGAAGUAUAUUGCUAUAUGUUAUAUUACAGUAUCUAUAUAGCAUACAUAUAAUAUAUAUAUGUAUACUAUACAUAUAUUUACAUUUAUAUUAUAUACAUGUAUUGUUACGUCGGCGGGCGAGAUGGCAGCCAGAUGUCUUCAGAUCCUUACUGCGUACCCUCAAUAGUCUCAAGUACUCCCUAUAAAUCUCAGGAAUUUUCUAGUUAACGUCCUUCAGACCGAACAAAUAUUCUUUCACUGAAUUGUUUUCUAAAGUUUAUUGUUCACCACGGGUUGACACGGGAAAGUUGCCUUUUCUCAGGUGUGAGGCCUCCCACUAGCAACUUCAUCUCGAGGGCGGUUAGCAUCCUUUCUCACCCACCACCAUAGCAAAUAACCAAUUAACAACGAAGCCUAUUUCCCUCGUCCUCCUAGCCAAAAUUGUCAUCAACAAAUCCGAUGGUCCCGUGCGCUGGACACACUCAACCUUAGUUUUCCUCUGCCACAGCAUCGUCACCGAACUUUACUGAUUUUCCAUCUUUCAAAUAGUCAACAUGUUUUGACAGGGUUUCGACCCUUAGAUCAGUCAC